GACGAACGCUGGCGGCGUGCUUAACACAUGCAAGUCGAACGAAGAGCGAUGGAAGCUUGCUUCUAUCAAUCUUAGUGGCGAACGGGUGAGUAACGCGUAAUCAACCUGCCCUUCAGAGGGGGACAACAGUUGGAAACGACUGCUAAUACCGCAUACGAUCCAAUCUCGGCAUCGGGACUGGAUGAAAGGUGGCCUCUAUUUAUAAGCUAUCACUGAAGGAGGGGAUUGCGUCUGAUUAGCUAGUUGGAGGGGUAACGGCCCACCAAGGCGAUGAUCAGUAGCCGGUCUGAGAGGAUGAACGGCCACAUUGGGACUGAGACACGGCCCAGACUCCUACGGGAGGCAGCAGUGGGGAAUCUUCCGCAAUGGACGAAAGUCUGACGGAGCAACGCCGCGUGAGUGAUGACGGCCUUCGGGUUGUAAAGCCCUGUUAAUCGGGACGAAUGGUUCUUGUGCGAAUAGUGCGAGGAUUUGACGGUACCGGAAUAGAAAGCCACGGCUAACUACGUG
rnacentral:rRNA from 1 species